rnacentral:rRNA from 1 species
AUCAACUUUCGAUGGUAGGAUAGAGGCCUACCAUGGUAGUAACGGGUGACGGGGAAUUAGGGUUCGAUUCCGGAGAGGGAGCCUGAGAAACGGCUACCACAUCCAAGGAAGGCAGCAGGCGCGCAAAUUUUCCAAUCCCGACACGGGGAGGUAGUGACAAUAAAUAACAAUACAGGGCCUUUUCGGGUCUUGUAAUUGGAAUGAGUACAAUUUAAAUCUCUUAACGAGGAACAAUUGGAGGGCAAGUCUGGUGCCAGCAGCCGCGGUAAUUCCAGCUCCAAUAGCGUAUAUUAAAGUUGUUGCAGUUAAAAAGCUCGUAGUUGAAUUUUAGGCUUGGCCGGGCGGUCCGUCUUUUGGCGAGUACUGUCCUGUUGUCGGGUCUUCCUUCUGGUGAACCAGUAUGUCCUUUAUUGGGUGUGCUGGGGAGCCAGGACCAUUACCUUGAAAAAAUUAGAGUGUUUAAAGCGGGCUAUUGCUUGAAUAGAUUAGCAUGGAAUAAUAGAAUAGGACGUUGUGGUUCUAUUUUGUUGGUUUCUAGGACCACCGUAAUGAUUAAUAGGGAUAGUUGGGGGCAUUAGUAUUCAAUUGUCAGAGGUGAAAUUCUUGGAUUUAUUGAAGACUAACUAUUGCGAAAGCAUUUGCCAAGGAUGUUUUCAUUAAUCAAGAACGAAAGUUAGGGGAUCGAAGACGAUCAGAUACCGUCGUAGUCUUAACCAUAAACUAUGCCGACUAGGAAUCGGGCGACGUUAUUUUCACGACUCGCUCGGCGCCUUAUGGGAAACCAAAGUGUUUGGGUUC